GACGAACGCUGGCGGCGCGCCUAACACAUGCAAGUCGAACGGAGUUGUGUUGAAAGCUUGCUGGAUAUACAACUUAGUGGCGGACGGGUGAGUAACACGUGAGUAACCUGCCUCUCAGAGGGGGAUAACCAUUGGAAACGAUGGCUAAUACCGCAUAGUAUCGAGAGAUGAAAGGGGUGGGAAACCACUUGCCAAGGGAUGAACCCAAGUGAGAUUAGGUAGUUGGUGGGGUAAGGGCCUACCAAGCCGACGAUCUCUAGCUGGUCUGAGAGGAUGGCCAGCCACACUGGGACUGAGACACGGCCCAG
rnacentral:rRNA from 1 species